AGCAUAUCAAUAAGCGGAGGAAAAGAAAAUAACAAUGAUUUCCCUAGUAACGGCGAGUGAAGAGGAAAGAGCUCAAAGUUGGAACCUGUUUGGCCUAGCUAAACCGGAUUGUAGACUGUAGAAGUGUUUUCCAGGCAAGCCGAGUAAAUAAGUCCUUUGGAACAGGGCAUCAUAGAGGGUGAGAAUCCCGUCUUUGGCUUGAGCAUUUGCCUUUUGUGAUACGCUUUCAAAGAGUCAGGUUGUUUGGGAAUGCAGCCUAAAUUGGGUGGUAAAUCUCACCUAAAGCUAAAUAUUGGCGAGAAACCGAUAGCGAACAAGUACCGUGAGGGAAAGAUGAAAAGAACUUUGAAAAGAGAGUUAAACAGUAUGUGAAAUUGUUAAAAGGGAACCGUUUGGAGCCAGACUGGCUUGUCUGUAAUCAAUCUAGGCUUCGGCCUGGAUGCACUUGCAGGCUAUGCCUGCCAACGACAAUUUGACUUGAGGGAAAAAACUAAGGGAAAUGUGGCCCACUUGUGGGUGUUAUAGUCCCUUAGAAAAUACCUUGGGUUGGAUUGAGGAACGCAGCGAAUGCUUUUUGGCGAGUUUUCCAGGAAGGUUUUCUGAGGUACUACGGUAUCAAGGUUGAUCUUUUUGGUUAUACUUCUAUUCGCUUAGGUUGUUGGCUUAAUGACUCUAAAUGACCCGUCUUGAAACACGGACCAAGGAGUCCACCAUUAGUGCGAGUAUUUGGGUGCCAAACCCAUAUGCGUAAGGAAACUGAUUGAUACGAAUCCAUUAAGGAGGCAGUAUCGUCCGGCGCUGACGUUUUAUACUGAAUUGACCGAGACAAAGCACUAAUGAUGGGACCCGAAAGAUGGUGAACUAUGCCUGAAUAGGGUGAAGCCAGAGGAAACUCUGGUGGAGGCUCGUAGCGAUUCUGACGUGCAAAUCGAUCGUCAAAUUUGGGUAUAGGGGCGAAAGAC
rnacentral:rRNA from 1 species